rnacentral:rRNA from 1 species
UACAGAGGUCUCAAGCGUUGUUCGGAUUCAUUGGGCGUAAAGGGUGCGUAGGCGGCUCGGUAAGUCGGGUGUGAAAUCUUGGAGCUUAACUCCGAGACUGCAUUCGAUACUGCCGUGCUUGGGGACUGGAGAGGAGACUGGAAUUUACGGUGUAGCGGUGAAAUGCGUAGAUAUCGUAAGGAAGACCAGUGGCGAAGGCGGGUCUCUGGACAGUUCCUGACGCUGAGGCACGAAGGCGAGGGGAGCAAACGGG